ACAUGUCUGUCAGUAUGGAACCCUAAUGAAAUCCCAAACCGACUCUUCAACAAGAGUUAUGUUUCAUCGACGCCUGACCUCCAACGCCAGAUGACCAAAAACACCUCCAACAUCCAAGAUUGGGGCUUUUCAGAUUCGUGGACGAUCUCAGAUUGCGAAGAAACUAAACUGUUGUUGCUGAUACAUCAUCAUCAUUAUCAUUAUCGCAGAGAAAGAGAUCUCAUCUCAAUCUAAAGGAGACAGAGGAUGCAAUCUGCUUCAAGAUCAUGAUUUUUUUCAACCAAUUUCAAUUUCUAUUGCUAAAGUUUAAACCUUUGCCUAUUGUGCAGUGGCUGCGUUUGUCGUUUGGUCCGUAUGAUUUGAAUUUCAUCCAAAGGUUGACCAAAUCCAUCAUCAUCAUUAUCAUCAUCGCAGAGAAAGAGAUCUCAUCUCAAUCUAAAGGGUUGUGCAUGUACAGUCUUACUGAUUCACUUGUGUUCAUAGAUGUUCAUUGGUUGAUGACGUUGAUGAGUUAUCAGUCAUGCCAAUUAUUGGAUUUUCUGAUACAAGGUACCAAACAAAGUGGAGUUCGCGGACUGGAUUGGACGGACAAAGCAAAAGAAAAUCCGUGUUACUGGGUAAGCAUGAAUCUGUGUGGCAUAUGGAUUUAACUAUUUUUGUUCUUUUGAGUCAAUUCAAAUCAAUUAAAACUAUCUUGAUUUGUUUUUAUCACUGCUUACUAUUCAUUCUUCUAAGAAUGUGGCAGAAAGGGGGUUUGUAAUGCUUUAUUGUCAACUUUUUUACAUCAUUUUCAUAUUUGAGGUUAUAAUUUUGAUAUCAGGACUACAAAAAGACCAGUACCAUUGGAGCACUGCCUAUUUUACUCCGGAGAACUUUACAAAAUAUGUGAAAGUGAAAGCUUUAUUCCCCAGGGGUUCAAAGCUGCAAAAGAUGCAUUCAAGAAAAAGAAUAUGAGUGCUGCGACUGGUGGUAGUGGAUCACAUGCUCCAGCUCCAGUUUCUCAUGAUGGGGCUCGAACUCAAAAACAAAGUUCUAACUGGGGAAAACAAAAGAAGCAAUCUGGUCCCCAAAAUUUGGGGAAUUUCUCCAAAGCUGGUGGAUCAAAUCAAAACAAUGGAAAUGGCAUGAACAAUUGGGGUUUAAGGAGAUCAGAUGCCUCUUUGUGGUUGUCACUUAUUAACAAGCUCUCGAAGAAGUCUCUGUUACCUGUGGUUAUAUUUUGUUUCUCAAAGAAUCGCUGUGAUAAGUCAGCUGAUAGUAUGUAUGGGAUUGACCUCACAAGUAGUUCUGAGAAAAGUGAGAUUCGUGUGUUCUGUGAUAAAGCAUUUUCGCGGCUAAAGGGAUCUGACAGGACUUUACCACAGGUUGUCAGAGUUCAAAACCUUCUUCAUAGAGGAAUUGGUGUCCAUCAUGCUGGACUGCUUCCAAUUGUUAAGGAAGUUGUUGAAAUGCUUUUUUGUCGUGGUGUAAUCAAGGUUUUGUUCUCAACAGAGACAUUUGCAAUGGGAGUCAAUGCACCAGCUAGAACGGUUGUUUUUGAUACGUUAAGGAAAUUUGAUGGCAAGGAAUUUAGACAAUUACUGCCUGGAGAAUACACUCAAAUGGCAGGCCGUGCAGGCCGAAGGGGACUUGAUAAAAUUGGUACAGUUAUUGUAAUGUGCCGUGAUGAAAUCCUAGAAGAAAGUGAUUUAAAGCAUGUCAUAGUUGGAAGUGCAACCAGGCUUGAAUCUCAGUUUCGGCUUACCUAUAUUAUGAUCUUGCAUCUCCUUCGUGUUGAGGAACUGAAGGUGGAGGACAUGCUUAAAAGAAGUUUUGCUGAAUUCCAUGCUCAGAAGAAACUACCAGAACAGCAGCAACUUCUGAUGCGAAAGCUUGCACAACCUACAAAAACUAUUGAAUGUAUAAAAGGUGAACCAGCUAUUGAGGAGUAUUAUGACAUGUACUCAGAAGCUGAGACAUAUUACACGGAAAUAUUGGAGGCAGUUAUGCAGUCCUCUGUUGCCCAAAAAUUUCUUACAGCUGGGAGAGUGGUAGUCAUGAAAUCACAAUCAGCCCGGGACCACUUGCUUGGAGUCGUCGUGAAAGCUCCUUCUUCUAGUAAUAAGCAAUACAUUGUUUUAGUGCUGAAACCUGAAUUACAAACUCCCCUGGCUAGUGGUAACUUGCAAGAUAGUAAAAACACCAAUUUUCCACAAGGUUAUUUCAUGGCCCCAAAAUCUAAACGUGCUAUUGAAGAAGAUUAUUUUUCUGGCAUCACUUCUCGCAAAGGAUCGGGUGUCAUCAACAUAAAAUUAACACACCAGGGUUCUGCUGCUGGGGUAAGGUUUGAGGUUAGAGAAGUCAAUGACAAGGAUUUUUUAUGCAUAUGCAAUUGCAAGAUAAAGAUUGACCAAGUUCGGCUUCUUGAAGACGGUAGCAGUCCUGCUUACUCCAAGACAGUUCAACAGCUGUUGGACACAAAAUCCAAUGGAAAUAAGUACCCUCCAGCCUUACAUCCAAUGGAAGAUGUUCUGAAGGAAAUUGGAUGUAUAGAUGCUGACCUUGUUGUUCAAAUAAAAGGCUGUGUUGCAUGCGAAAUGAAUUCAGGGGAGGAGUUGAUUUGCACAGAGUGUUUGUUUGAGAACCAACUGGAUGACCUGGAACCAGAAGAAGCUGUGGCGUUAAUGUCCGCCUUUGUGUUUCAGCAGAAGAAUACUUCCGAACCUUCUCUUACUCCAAAACUGUCUCAGGCGAAACAAAGGCGUAAUCAUUACAUAACUCACCCCUUUGUAAGAUGCAAGUGAUUGAUGGGCUGCUACGCAGCACAGCACUGGGAGCUUCCUAUCGAGCGCCGCUUGGAUGGCUUUUUCUCCGCGUAUGCUCUUAAAACCAUUGAGAAAACCUGAGGGGAACUACAGGUUUAGAAUGACUUCGCCUCCGCCUCUUUUCUCGUUCGAUCCUCUACGGCCUCCGCUUCCUCUCUCCUUCGUUCUUCUACGCCCCUGCCUCCGCCUCUGCUUUUUCGAUUGUCUGCCUUCCUCCUCCUCCUCUGCUUUUUCGAUUGUCUACCUUCCUCCUCCUCCUCCUCCUACUUGGCUCUUCUCCUCAGCUAUCAGCUAUUUCAUACCCAGAAGUGUUGGAUCCUGAGCAAGCAGUGAAAGGGCUAUCUGGUGUGAAUUGGAAUAAAUAAAAAAAAUUUGCUGGGUUUUUGAGACUUGUGAUGUUAUUCAUCAGUAUUCAUGCCUGGUUUCUUCUUGCAAUAAUUUUGUUGAUUGUUGUAGGAAACUCCGCUCUCAAACAUAGACAAUGAACAAUUGAGUUGACAUGCUGCUGGGAGAAUUGUUUGCAAUGCAGAGAAGACUUGUCUCUUACUUUUGUGAUGAUGAACUGGGUUGUAGCAAGCAAUUUUGACAUAAGAGUUGAGUUGAAAUUGAAACUUGCUAUUGAACCAAAAGGGAGCUGCUGAAAGUGGGUCUAAGCAGCAGCAACAACAACCCAACAGGGUAGACAUGGAUCGAAAGAGAAAGAGGAAGAUUGUGACAACUCUAGUUGCAGUAGAGUUAGAUAAACAACAUUUGUGUGCAUCCAUGAUGUCAGUAACUGUCAUAUAUACUUUGACAGAUGGUACUAUGAAAAAUACCAUUACCGCAUCUGACCAAUGGUCUGGAUGGAGGGAUAGUAAAUAGAAAAUCUAUAUGUUGGGGGUUUUCUGGCUAGCUAAAAAUCUGUGAGAAAUGAUGAAUCCAUCUGAUUGCAGCCUAUUUAAUGUUUAAUACCUUCAUUAAAAAAAGGUUGUUGACAGUGCUUUGACUAUCUUGCAGAUUAUAAUGGCAAAACCAGCAGGUGGCCCUAGUGAGAGAGAUCAGCAUGCAGGGAUGGAUGAGGACUAAUUUUGUGUGUAUGACAAUUGACUAUCUUUGCUUGUAUUGCUCUAUGUUAGGGAUCUUUUGUUCCAUUUUAGUAACAAUUUUGUUUAGGAGAAAAAGAAACAUAUUGCAGUUCAUGCUUUGUAAAUGCCACUAUUAUGUUAUGAUGGACACGUGGUAUGCCCUUGUUGGGUAGGUUUUGGAUUGAAACCAUGGUCGAGUGCUUGAGCCAUGUUUAGUGUGAAGCUUGAAUGGA